rnacentral:rRNA from 1 species
UACGAAGGGGGCUAGCGUUGUUCGGAAUUACUGGGCGUAAAGAGCGCGCAGGCGGUCGUUCAAGUCGAGUGUGAAAGCCCCCGGCUCAACUGGGGAGGGUCAUUCGAUACUGAUCGACUCGAAGGCAGGAGAGGGUAGUGGAAUUCCCGGUGUAGUGGUGAAAUGCGUAGAUAUCGGGAGGAACACCAGUGGCGAAGGCGACUACCUGGCCUGUUCUUGACGCUGAGGCGCGAAAGCUAGGGGAGCAAACGGG